rnacentral:rRNA from 1 species
GAUGAACGCUAGCUACAGGCUUAACACAUGCAAGUCGAGGGGCAGCAUGAACAUAGCUUGCUAUGUUUGAUGGCGACCGGCGCACGGGUGCGUAACACGUAUCCAAUCUGCCCGUUACUCGGGGAUAGCCUUCUGAAAGGAAGAUUAAUACCCGAUAGUAUCCAUUAGCGGCAUCGCCUAUGGAUUAAAGCUUUAUGUGCUGAAAGAUGGUCUCGCGUCUGAUUAGCUUGUUGCGGGUAAGGCCCACCAAGGCGACGAUCAGUAGCCGGUCUGAGAGGAUGAACGGCCACAUUGGGACUGAGAUACGGCCCAGACUCCUACGGGAGGCAGCAGUGGGGAAUAUUGGGCAAUGGGGGAAACCCUGACCCAGCAACGCCGCGUGAAGGAAGAAGGCCUUCGGGUUGUAAAGCUCUAUCAGCAGGGAAGAAAAUGACGGUACCUGACUAAGAAGCCCCGGCUAACUACGUG